rnacentral:lncRNA from 1 species
ACGAUAUCAUGACAUGUCGACAAGUUUUAUGAUUUUCAAACUUUAUUUGCUUUUUAUAGAUUUUAAAACCAACUCGCCCGCAAGUUUGUGGUCAUGUUCCGUGAUCAAGAUGUUCGAACUUGGUGGUCUAUUCUUAGAUAAGGCCUUAAAUUAGUCUCAAUAACAAGAAUAUUUUUUUUUUAAUUUAUUUUUUCUAUUAUUCGAGUGACUUUCAGUUUAAAUUUGAAUUACCCAAAAAAUCAGUUAAAUAAAAUAAAUUGACUAAAUAUAACAAACACUUCGAAAAGCAUGCUAAAUUUUAACAUGUAGUUUAUUUAACUAUAGGAGUACCAUAG